rnacentral:tRNA from 1 species
AGUAAGAUGUCUGAUUUAAAGAGCUAUUUUGAUGUAAUAGAAAAAGUGACAAUUCACUCUUACUA